rnacentral:rRNA from 1 species
UACAGAGGGUGCGAGCGUUGUCCGGAAUCACUGGGCGUAAAGGGCGCGUAGGUGGCGACCCAAGUCCGUGGUGAAAGCUCGUCGCUUAACGACGAGUCGGCCACGGAGACUGGGUGGCUCGAGCACUGUAGGGGCAGAUGGAAUUCCGGGUGUAGCGGUGGAAUGCGUAGAGAUCCGGAAGAACACCGGUGGCGAAGGCGGCCUGCUGGGACAUGGCUGACGCUGAGGCGCGAAAGCUAGGGGAGCAAACGGG